CGUUUCAUUUUUAAAAUUACCCCAUCUCGUUUCCAGAUUUCACCGGCAUUGACAUCGUUAUCAAUUACCCGUUAAUUGCAAUUGAAUAGCCGACCCAGACCCUUUUGCCCUUUCCACUCAAACUUUUUCCCGUUUCCCCUUUUCAAGCUCAUUAAAAUCUACCCAAAUAAACCUUAUGGUUUUCUCGAAAUCAUAUUAUGUAUCAUCAAUCUUUUGAUUUUGGUGCAAUAUAAUCUUGGAGAAGGCUAUGUAGGUAGAUACUGUAGAUUUUCUUUUGACAUGUAACUAUAAAUUUUAUGUUUUCCUUUAGCUUUAUGAUUUCUUUCAGUAUUUGAAUGGCUACAAUUCAACAGUUUUGAGUUAUCCCUCACGUUUUUCAAUUUCUUUCACCCCGUUAAUCUUGUAUUUGACUUUAUGGAACUUAAGAAGAUGUUCAUUACUUGUCAUGUACUGCCACUCUUUUUCUCAUCUCAUUUAAGCUUUCGGUGCUGAAUUCUGGUUUUAUACAACCGAUUAGUCUAAGAAAAUUUUUAUUAGAGAGUGUUUGAUGCCGACAAGACUUGACCUUUUUGUAACAUUAUGAUUUGUAAGAGAAAUUAUUUUUUGUAACAUUAAACUUGAAAGUAUGUUGAGUGAGUGAUAUACCAGUUUUAUAAGGCAAGGCCAGUUGUCUGACUCUGCAGCCUUAGAUGAUAAUCAUGAUGUUACAAUGGAUUCAACUGCAAUUUUCAUGCAUAUUCGUAGUCUUACUAGAUCAGAGGUAGACUUCAAGACCCCAACAGGUGUUAAUCUCUCAUUUGAAGAGAAAACUCUAAGAAUGAGAAUGUAGGAAGUUUCAUGAAAUUGACUUUAGUUAAGAAGCCGGUUUCUAUAUCCUCCAUUCCUGCCACAAAUGUUAGUGGAAGUCGUGAUUCAAAUGAUAUGAGUCUUCUUGAUGAAAACCCCAACUGGUAUAAAUAUGAGAAAGUUACCAGGAUUGUAUGCACUUUUGGCGGAGAGCAGAAAAAAAUUGCUUUCUGUUGGUGGCUCUGAUGAUAUUAAUGCCUCAAAGUCACCUGGAAGGAUGAAAAGUAGGCACUCUAUAUGAUAUCAUCAUAUGAUGGGAAUAGCCUUAUAAAUUUAAGUGAAUUUUGCAAAGCAAGAAACUGACACGAUCAUUUCUCAGGAUUUACUGUGUAAAGAAGUUUCUGAUGUACAUGGCAAAUUUCAGGAAGCAAAUGGUGGUAUAUUAUAAUGUCUUGUCAUGCCCUGCCCGUCCCUUACCGUCUUUUUCAAUUUGUAUUGCUUGCCAAACAUGCAAUUAGGGAGUGUUAACCUUAAGCUACUAUUAUUCUUUCUAAAAGAAGUUAGGCUGUUGGCAUUGGGAUGAGAGCUCGUGGGUAUUACUAAUACUAUAUAGGAUAAUGUUUUUCCACUUAGUGAACUAAACAUUGAAAUAGAUUGACAUCUCAAAAUUUGAGCAACUUUUUGACAUUGGAACUUUGCAUAUUGGUUUUUAAUGAUAUUUCUUUGAAUUUAAGCAUGGAGAUAUGGGAUAGAGUGAUAAUUCUAGGCUUUUUACUUGUCU
rnacentral:lncRNA from 1 species